GAGGUGCUUGCACCUCUGAUACUUAGCGGCGGACGGGUGAGUAACACGUGGGUAACCUGCCUAUAAGACUGGGAUAACAUUCGGAAACGAAUGCUAAUACCGGAUACGCGGUUUGGUCGCAUGACCGAAUCGGGAAAGAUGGAGCAAUCUAUCACUUAUAGAUGGACCCGCGGCGCAUUAGCUAGUUGGUGAGGUAACGGCUCACCAAGGCGACGAUGCGUAGCCGACCUGAGAGGGUGAUCGGCCACACUGGGACUGAGACACGGCCCAGACUCCUACGGGAGGCAGCAGUAGGGAAUCUUCCGCAAUGGACGAAAGUCUGACGGAGCAACGCCGCGUGAGUGAUGAAGGUUUUCGGAUCGUAAAGCUCUGUUGCCAGGGAAGAAUGCUUGGGAGAGUAACUGCUCUCAAGGUGACGGUACCUGAGAAGAAAGCCCCGGCUAACUACGUGCCAGCAGCCGCGGUAAUACGUAGGGGGCAAGCGUUGUCCGGAAUUAUUGGGCGUAAAGCGCGCGCAGGCGGCCUUGUAAGUCUGUUGUUUAAACUUGGGGCUCAACCCCAAGUCGCAAUGGAAACUGCAAAGCUUGAGUGCAGAAGAGGAAAGUGGAAUUCCACGUGUAGCGGUGAAAUGCGUAGAGAUGUGGAGGAACACCAGUGGCGAAGGCGACUUUCUGGGCUGUAACUGACGCUGAGGCGCGAAAGCGUGGGGAGCAAACAGGA
rnacentral:rRNA from 1 species